rnacentral:misc_RNA from 1 species
GAUGUAGAAACCAACAAAUGAAUCAUCCCAUCCCCUCCUUUAAAAAUCAAUAUUACUCUAAUCUAAUCUAAAAAGAUAAAAUUCUACCUCAACUUCACUCAUUUUCUUCCUGCAUCUUGCAGUUGCACCACCACCCACCACCACCACCUCCUCCGGCUCCCACUACUAUCGAUCUAUAUUAGUUAACCAUAUAAUAAAAGGCAGUUCAACAUAUAUAUAUAUAUAUAUAUUCGUACAAAUUAGUGUAUUGGAUUUAAUGGGAAUAAGAAGCAAAUGGCGAUGAAAUCGACAGGUGAGCUUUUCCAUCCAUCCUGACUCAGUACCGCGUCACCAAUGGGUCACAUGGCCCAUGCAUGGAAAAGUGCAUGUCACCAGAAUCGUAGGUCCACGACCGAAACGACAAUGACAUUUGCACCAAAACUAGCUAAUUAGCGAGUUAGAACUCAUAAGAGAUGCCUCAACUGCCAAAUUGCCACCGUGACGCUGACUAUACCCGUAAUAGCAUGUGAUCUUAACACGUCAGUACACGUGGACACCGAUGCUCCACUUUGGUCCAAGGCACCUUCAUAAACCAUGGUGCUG